rnacentral:rRNA from 1 species
AGCGCACGCAGGCGGUCUGUCAAGUCGGAUGUGAAAUCCCCGGGCUCAACCUGGGAACUGCAUUCGAAACUGGCAGGCUAGAGUCUUGUAGAGGGGGGUAGAAUUCCAGGUGUAGCGGUGAAAUGCGUAGAGAUCUGGAGGAAUACCGGUGGCGAAGGCGGCCCCCUGGACAAAGACUGACGCUCAGGUGCGAAAGCGUGGGGAGCAAACAGGAUUAGAUACCCUGGUAGUCCACGCCGUAAACGAUGUCGACUUGGAGGUUGUGCCCUUGAGGAGUGGCUUCCGGAGCUAACGCGUUAAGUCGACCGCCUGGGGAGUACGGCCGCAAGGUUAAAACUCAAAUGAAUUGACGGGGGCCCGCACAAGCGGUGGAGCAUGUGGUUUAAUUCGAUGCAACGCGAAGAACCUUACCUACUCUUGACAUCCAGAGAA